UCAUUGUCCUCCUCAUUUUCGUAUUCAUCAGGAAUUGGCAUAAUUAUUAUAGUUCUAAAUUAAACAAAAAAAAAUUACAUUCUUGAAGAAGAUUAAAGACUAAAAGAAAUUCUCAAAAAAGCCAGAGGUAAUGAGCACAAAAACAGCCAUAAAAAGAAUAUUAAACAAAAAAACUCUUUCAAAAAGUCUUUGCACACAGUUGUCAGUGUCAAUACACUUUCAUUUUGAUAAGGGAAUUUUUUUUAACAAUGAUUAUACUGUCAUAUGAUCAAAUAAAUUUAAAGUAUUUUGAAAACAAACAAUCUUUCUUUCACAGAGAAGGAAAUGAAAAAACAAAAUUAAUAUGUGUUUUUGGUUACUCGGUUUAUUUAUACCAUAUUUCAUUUACCUAUCUUCAGAAUCUUCAGAAUUUCCUAGAUUGGAUUGUUCCACUUGUCUUACAACUAGAGAUUAGCUGAAAAAUUACGACUUACUAGUACUAGACCUGGUGUAUUAUAUAUGGUUCAGCUAAGACUCGCAAAACUGCAAUAAAUGGGUUUAAGACUAUUCUAUCGACUUAAAGACCAUUCUAUCGACAAUAGGCAUGCUGGUUUAUAAGCUUGCUAAGUUUUUAGUACCAUUGCACAGGUCUCUGAUGACCUCAGCAUAAUUUUUAAACCCCAAUAUCCUCAAAAAGUCCAUUGAAAACACAUGAUUCUAUACCUAAUGUGAUGAUCCUACACCUAAUGUAUGUGAUCAUGUGGUUUAAACAACAAGUGUUUCAAGCCCUACACAUAGGGUACACAGGUAAAAAAAUUCAAAAUAAAUUUUUGUCUAUUAAAAGGUCCAGAAUUGUAAUGAUGUCUAGCAUCAUUACAAUUCUGGUUUUGAUAUGUAAAUAGAUUAAGUAGGUAAAUAGGUUAAAGUAAGCAAGGAUAAAGUAAAUGAGUUGGUUCAAGUAGGUUAGUGAAUUAAAACAGAUGAAAAUAGAUUGUAGAAUCUUAAUUUUUAAAAAAUCAGAUAGCACUUUUAUGGUAUUUUUAUAUACUAAAAAGUCGUUUACAAAACAACCAAAACCAUACAUAGGUUAAUAUUUAUCAUUGCACAUCUGUAUUUCAUUCUCAACAGAGAAUGCUUCGGCUCUGAUCAUGACGGGCGAGUUUAAUGCGUGUUAGGCAUAUUGUAGAAGAACUACUACCAAAACCAUGAUAACCAUAUAUAUUUCUGCACUACGCAAGCUCAACUAUUUUUGAUAUAAAGAAAAAAAAGAAACAUUGCUAACUUAACAAAUAACAUACACAAAAUAACAAGCACAUCACCCAAUAUUUAAUUUUAGGCAAGUAUAUAAAAAAUGAAAAAAGCUCUUAGUUUACUUAUCUAUACCACUAUAAAUUAUUAAAUGUUAUUGUUUAAUUUGAUCAGGCAAGGAUUUAGACUAUGUCAACCCUGUCACGCAACAUAGAAAAAAAUUUCCACCACUACGCGAAGAAAUAAUUUCCAAGAUAAAUCCCGGUGUUUUCCAAUUGAACCCGGAAUCCUGCAAACGAAAAUCGGCUUCUUAUUUUUCUUUGCGUUAUUGUCUUUAUCACAUUCCUUACAGCAAAGAUUUAGGCAACUGAUGUUGACGCAAUCUGUUUUAUGUCAUGCAGUCUUGAUGCAAUAAUAGCGCUCAAACCCUGUCAAGGUUGUUUGUAGGUAUUACUAUAAUAUGAUCUUCUGUGAAGGUUUGACCGUAGCACUAACGGUAUAGCGCACAAACCCUGUCAAGGUUGUUUCUAGGUUUUACUAUAAUAUGAGCCUCUGUGAAGGUUUGACCAUAGCACUAACAGUAUAGUGCACAAACUCUGUCGAGGUUGUUUCUAAGGUAUUAAUAUAAUAUGAUCUUCCAUGAAGGUCUAACCUUGGCACAAGACGGUAUAGUGCACAAACCAUGUCAAAAAUGUUUCUAGGUAUUACUAUAAUAUGUUCCUCCGUGAAGGUUAGACUGUAGCGCUAGACGUUAUAGCGCACAAACCCUGUCAAGGUUGAUUAUAGGUAUUGAUAAAGAUUAUAAGCAUUUGGUAUAAAUAUCAGUUGCACUUGGUUGUGAAGAUCUUUCCGUUCUCAGCAUGGUUUGAAGGAGCUUGCGAGAACGUGUGAAGUUUGUUUUCAAAUGAAAAAAUUCUGAUGACAUACAUGAAAUUUAUGCAUAACUGCUAGAGGAACUUUCCUGACGUGCUACAAAAACAAGUUGAUUUUUAUUUAAUCCAAAGAAAUUAACCUGCAGAGUAUAAUCUUCCUGCCAAUGCAAAAACAAACAACGAUCGGAGCACAGUAGCUUAAGCUACUGUACUGUAAGGUACAGCAACGUGAGAUAUGCUGAAGAAACUCAACUCUGCCGAUUGAUAAAAAUGUUCAAGAAUAGUUUUUAAGAGAGAGUUGUAUUCUUAAGAUUUAAAUAAAAAUAAACAAUAUGGCUUGAUAUUUUCCCUUGUGUCACGAUCUUGUUAAGUAAAACAAAUUGGCGGAUUAGCGUACAUAAAACUCGUUUCAGUAGCAAAGCUUCUGAAGCAAUGGCGUAUUACACGCCAAGACCCCCACCAUUUUUUCUGUUUUUUUUAUAUUUGACACUAUUGAUAACAAACAAACAUUAAAUUUUAACAUACUGCUGCAAAGAACAAAAGAAUUAACAGAUAUAUAUGACAUUUACUUAUUGCAAAUAAUAAAGUCACAUAAAAAAUUAAGGUUAGCAUGAAUGACCUGUAUGAGUUAAAAAAAACUAUGUGAAUCAUUUGCAUGCCUCUACACCUUGAACUUUUUGUAAGCUUUGUUACCAGGAAAGGGAGUACAAAGUCUUACUUGCUCAAUUAUGCAGUCAGGGAAAACUUUUAAAUAUGCUGUUACAGGAUAAUAA